AUUGAACGCUGGGGCAGGCCUAACACAUGCAAGUCGAGCGGAUGAAGGGAGCUUGCUCCUGGAUUCAGCGGCGGACGGGUGAGUAAUGCCUAGGAAUCUGCCUGGUAGUGGGGGAUAACGUCCGGAAACGGGCGCUAAUACCGCAUACGUCCUGAGGGAGAAAGUGGGGGAUCUUCGGACCUCACGCUAUCAGAUGAGCCUAGGUCGGAUUAGCUAGUUGGUGGGGUAAAGGCCUACCAAGGCGACGAUCCGUAACUGGUCUGAGAGGAUGAUCAGUCACACUGGAACUGAGACACGGUCCAGACUCCUACGGGAGGCAGCAGUGGGGAAUAUUGGACAAUGGGCGAAAGCCUGAUCCAGCCAUGCCGCGUGUGUGAAGAAGGUCUUCGGAUUGUAAAGCACUUUAAGUUGGGAGGAAGGGCAGUAAGUUAAUACCUUGCUGUUUUGACGUUACCAACAGAAUAAGCACCGGCUAACUUCGUG
rnacentral:rRNA from 1 species